CUACGUGCCAGCAGCCGCGGUAAUACGGAAGGUCCUGGUGUUAUCCGGAUUUAUUGGGUUUAAAGGGAGCGUAGGCCGGAGAUUAAGUGUGUUGUGAAAUGUAGACGCUCAACGUCUGACUUGCAGCGCAUACUGGUUUCCUUGAGUACGCACAACGUUGGCGGAAUUCGUCGUGUAGCGGUGAAAUGCUUAGAUAUGACGAAGAACUCCGAUUGCGAAGGCAGCUGACGGGAGCGCAACUGACGCUUAAGCUCGAAGGUGCGGGUAUCGAACAGGAUUAGAUACCCUGGUAGUCCGCACAGUAAACGAUGGAUGCCCGCUGUUGGUACCUGGUAUCAGCGGCUAAGCGAAAGCAUUAAGCAUCCCACCUGGGGAGUACGCCGGCAACGGUGAAACUCAAAGGAAUUGACGGGGGCCCGCACAAGCGGAGGAACAUGUGGUUUAAUUCGAUGAUACGCGAGGAACCUUACCCGGGCU
rnacentral:rRNA from 1 species